AGUUGAUCAUGGCUCAGGAUGAACGCUGGCGGCGUGCCUAACACAUGCAAGUCGAACGGGGUUAACACGCUGACGAGACUUCGGUCAAAAUCUGUGUUAACUUAGUGGCGAACGGGUGAGUAACGCGUGGGCAACCUGCCCCGUACCGGGGGAUAGCGGCUGGAAACGGCCGGUAAUACCGCAUAAGCGCACGGUACCGCAUGGUACAGUGUGAAAAACUCCGGUGGUACGGGAUGGGCCCGCGUCUGAUUAGCCAGUUGGUGAGGUAACGGCUCACCAAAGCGACGAUCAGUAGCCGGGCUGAGAGGCCGGACGGCCACAUUGGGACUGAGACACGGCCCAGACUCCUACGGGAGGCAGCAGUGGGGGAUAUUGCACAAUGGAGGAAACUCUGAUGCAGCGACGCCGCGUGAAGUGAAGAAGUAUUUCGAUAUGUAAAGCUCUAUCAGCAGGGAAGAAAGCCCUCGUAAGAGGGGAUGACGGUACCUGACUAAGAAGCCCCGGCUAACUACGUGCCAGCCGCUGC
rnacentral:rRNA from 1 species